GAUGAAGAACGAAGCGAAAUGCGAUAAGUAAUGUGAAUUGCAGAAUUCAGUGAAUCAUCGAAUCUUUGAACGCACCUUGCGCCCUUUGGCUAUUCUGAAGGGCAUGCCUGUUUGAGUAUCAUGAACACCUCAACUCUCAUGGUUUGCCAUGAUGAGCUUGGACUUUGGGGGUCUUGCUGGCCUACGGUCAGCUCCUCUCAAAUGAAUCAGCUUGCCAGUGUUUGGUAGAGUCGCAGGUGUGAUAACUAUCUACGCUUGUGGUUUUCUGCCAGAUAACCUUCAGUGAUGGAGGUUCGCUGGAGCUUAUAAAUGUCUCUCCCCAGUGAGGACAGCUUUUUGAACGUUUGAUCUCAAAUCAGGUAGGACUACCCGCUGAACUUAAGCAUAUCAAUAAGCGGAGGA
rnacentral:misc_RNA from 1 species